AUGGGAUUUAGGGUCCCUUCCAUCCCUGGGUGCAGCCUGGGACCCCGGGAGCUGGGAAUGGAUGGGAUUUAUGGUCCCUUCCAGCCCCCUUCCAGCCCCACGGCUCCCGGUGGAAGCUGGAGGCAGCUCAGAAUUCCCAAGGGACAAAUCGCGGUGCUCAGGGUCCCCUCGGGGCCGGCUCAGUCCCAGCUUGGAGCAGACCUUGUGCAGCUCAUGGGAUGCGAAUCCAGGGAAAACAAAGAUUUGGGGCUUUUCUCGGCCCUGGGAGCUCCCUCCCUCUGCCUGUGCGGCUCCGGGAUAAGGAACUCUUUCCCAACAGGGAUUUUGGGGCAGGAGGGAGGCUCUGGAAUGUUCUGGAGCCUGGCUGGGCAGGAAUUUCCGCAGGGAAUUCCCGGGGGUGUCUCCCCUGCAGCCGAGGCCGGGGAUGCGCUCGGUGCCCGGGCAGCGCUGGGGCCGAGCGGAGCCGCUCCCAACCCAUCCCAUUUCUCCUCCCUCCCGGCUUUUCCUGGCUCCAGAUCCCGGUUCCACAUUUCCAGAUCCAGGCCUCGGUUACCGGCAGGGGGAACUCUGCUUCCAACCAUUCCCAGCCCCUCCAAAAGCGGCUCCUGUGCAAUCCCAGCCGCAAACGCGGCUUUUCUCCAGCUUUUCCCCCAUUUUCACCGCGUUCAAUCCCUCCCGGCCGCCAGCAGAGCCGGGUUGGGAGCUGGAAUCCUCCCCUGCUCCUCCCGGGCAGCUGGCGUGGAAAACAUUCCCUCUGGAAUUGUGCCCGCAGCUGCCCCGGGAGGUGAGGCUGGGCUGGGAGCGGGAUUUGGCAGCUCCGCUCCCUCUCCUUUCAUCCCCGCUGCUUCUCCCAGCUCCUCCUGCAGCUCCAGCAGCAGAUGGUUCCCAAAAAAAAUCCCAAAAAAAGCCAAAAAAACCCCAAAUGUUUGGAGAGGGAGGUGGAGGGGACGGAAUUUUUGGAUGUUUUGGAGGGAUGGAGAUCGUUCUGUAAAUCAGCGCGGAGUAAAGGUGGAUUAA
rnacentral:lncRNA from 1 species